GACUGUGCAAGGUAGCAUAAUCAUUAGUUUUUUAAUUGAAGACUUGAAUAAAUGGUUAAAUGAGAUAUUUAUUGUUUCUUUAUAUUUUUUAUUUAAUUUUAUAUUUUAGUUAAAAAGCUAAAAUUUUUAUUAAAGACGAGAAGACCCUAUAAAGCUUUAUAUUUUUAAAAAGAUUUUUAAUAAAAUAAUUUGAAAGAUUUUAUUUAAAAAUAUUUUAUUGGGGUGAUAAAAAAAUUUAAUAAACUUUUUUUUUAUUUUCAUUUAUUUAUGUUAUAAAAUUUAUUUUUAAAAAUAAUUAUUUUUGAUCCUUUAUUUAUGAUUAAAAGUUUAAGUUACUUUAGGGAUAACAGCGUAAUUUUUUUGGAGAGUUCAAAUUUAUAAAAAAGAUUGCGACCUCGAUGUUGGACUAAGAGUAAAUUUUAGGUGUAGAAGUUUAAAAUUUUAAGUCUGUUCGACUUUUUAUUCUUACGUGAUCUGAGUUCAAACCGGUGUAAGCCAGG
rnacentral:rRNA from 1 species